rnacentral:lncRNA from 1 species
UGGAACAUGAAAGACACUGUUGAGUGUGAUAGUGUCUCUUUGCUUCUCGUUGAUCACAACAGUACCUUCCUUCUCAACGUUAUGGACUGUAUUAUCUGCUGCAACAAUGACAUCACGUCUGUUGUAUUCGCGAAAGGUAGAGAAUUUGGAUUGAUCUCCAGUAAGAUGGUGCCCACAUCCUGAAUCUACGAUCUAGUCUUUUUCAAAAUUUAUGGAAGCCAUGGCAUUUAUUGCUCGAGUCUCCGCUGCGA